GUGAAAAAGAGAAUGCUUCUUACUUCCCUUCCUCAUCUUUCUUCUUCUAUCUCUGCUCAUAAGAUGCGAAAACAGUGCUUAUGAUCCCAUUUUGCCUACGGAGGAAGGCCAGAUACACACAAUUUCAUUCCAGGCCAGGUUAAGAUCAUGGCAAGUGUAGAUGCUCUUAUUUCUCCACUGGUAGAUCGAGUGUUGACAAUCCUCACCAGCCAAGCUCAAUAUGUACUUGGUUUUAGCUAUCAGUUCAAGGC
rnacentral:misc_RNA from 1 species